rnacentral:rRNA from 1 species
GUCGUCAGCUCGUGUUGUGAGAUGUUGGGUUAAGUCCCGCAACGAGCGCAACCCUUAUCCUUAGUUGCCAGCACGUAAUGGUGGGAACUCUGGGGAGACUGCCGGUGAUAAACCGGAGGAAGGUGGGGACGACGUCAAGUCAUCAUGGCCCUUACGGGAUGGGCUACACACGUGCUACAAUGGCGCAUACAAAGGGCAGCAAGCCAGCGAUGGUUAGCGAAUCUCAUAAAGUGCGUCGUAGUCCGGAUUGGAGUCUGCAACUCGACUCCAUGAAGUCGGAAUCGCUAGUAAUCGUGGAUCAGAAUGCCACGGUGAAUACGUUCCCGGGCCUUGUACACACCGCCCGUCACACCAUGGGAGUGGGCUGCACCAGAAGUGGUUAGUUUAACCUUCGGGAGAACGAUCACCACGGUGUGGUUCAUGACU